rnacentral:rRNA from 1 species
CACGUAGUUAGCCGGUGCUUAUUCUUCAGGUACCGUCAUUAGUCGAGGAUAUUAGCCUCAACCGUUUCUUCCCUGACAAAAGAGCUUUACAACCCGAAGGCCUUCUUCACUCACGCGGCAUUGCUGGAUCAGGCUUUCGCCCAUUCUCCAAAAUUCCCCACUGCUGCCUCCCGUAGGAGUCUGGACCGUGUCUCAGUUCCAGUGUGGCUGGUCGUCCUCUCAGACCAGCUACUGAUCGUCGCCUUGGUGAGUCCUUUACCUCACCAACUAGCUAAUCAGAUAUCGGCCGCUCCAGGAGCACAAGGUCCGAAGACUCCCCUGCUUUCAUUCCUAGAUCGUAUGCGGUAUUGACGUACUUCGCUACGUUACUCCCCAUCUUGGUACUUCCGAUAUAUUACUCACCCGUUCGCCACUUCCGCCGCCGUAGGUUCGCCCCGCGCCUGCCGUUCGACUUGCAGUGUAGUAAAGCAGUCGCCGCCAGUCCGUUCAAAUUCGUGACGCCGAGGACUAC